GAUGAAGAACGCAGCGAAAUGCGAUAAGUAAUGUGAAUUGCAGAAUUCAGUGAAUCAUCGAAUCUUUGAACGCACAUUGCGCCCGCGAGUAUUCUCGCGGGCAUGCCUGUCCGAGCGUCAUUUCAACCCUCAGGGCCCGCCUGCUUCGGCAGGCGCGGCGCUGGUGUUGGGGAUCGUCCUAACCGCCGUCCCCCAAAUACAGUGGCGGUCUCGCUGCAGCCUCCCCUGCGUAGUAGCAACACUCGCAUGCGGAGCGCGGCGCGGCCACGCCGUAAAACCCCCGACUUUCUGAACGUUGACCUCGGAUCAGGUAGGAAUACCCGCUGAACUUAAGCAUAUCAAUAAGCGGAGGA
rnacentral:misc_RNA from 1 species